CCUACGGGAGGCUGCAGUGGGGAAUAUUGCACAAUGGGGGAAACCCUGAUGCAGCGACGCCGCGUGAGUGAAGAAGUAAUUCGUUAUGUAAAGCUCUAUCAGCAUGGAAGAAAAUGACGGUACCUGAGUAAGAAGCCCUGGCCAACUACGUGCCAGCAGCAGCGGUAAUACGUAGGGGGCAAGCGUUAUCCGGAUUUACUGGGUGUAAAGGGAGCGUAGACGGCAGUGCAAGUCUGGAGUGAAAGGCGGGGGCUCAACCGCCGAACUGCUGUGGAAACUGUACGGCUGGAGUGCAGUAGAGGUAAGUGGAAUUCGUGGUGUAGCGGUGAAAUGCGUAGAUAUUAGGAGGAACACC
rnacentral:rRNA from 1 species